AUUGAUAUUGGAAUACAGCAUAUAAUUCCCAGCGAUUUGAACGCGCCAUUUAUGACCGUCUGUGUCGUACCUGUGACGUGUGUACCGGAAGCUGAAACUCACAUUGGUAAACAGGGCCUGGCGAAGAUGGUGUACGUGUCCGACGGUCAGACCUUAGGGUCGUCACGGUCACGAUGGAGUUUCCCCAACCUGGCGAAAAUGUUUUGGGGAAUAGUUGAGUUUGUCGGCUUGUUCUUCACGACAAUAGUUCAGUCGGAUCUUACAAAGGAUAAAAUUGUCGCUGGAUCAUCACGGUUCUCGGAUGGCAGAGAUCCUCCAGGCCCCCCUGGUGGCAGGCGGCGCAUGGGCAGGAUAAACCAUGGGGCGGGGCCAAGUGCCCCACCAAUGGGAGGAGGAGGAUGAGGAAGGUAAACGCCUACACAUCCAGUGUAGGCGAUGGGCGCAUGGCAUGUUUACAUGUCUGCACCCAUGGUCCUUGGUUGCCUCUGCCGUUGGCAGAUUUUUGAUGCCAUCCUGGGAAUUCCUACAUUGUAGGGGCCAGGCUGGCUGAUGUGGCAACCGACUUCAGCGCCGCUCUCUCCGCUCGCUUCCCUUCAUUCUUUCUGCUUCUCACAACUUACUGACCCAUGUGUUCAUUUCAAACCUUGAAGAUUAAGUUAUUAUGUGCUUUAUAUCCCUCAGAUUUAAAUAAAGAUUUACAAUGUCAAAA